CCCUUAGAUGUUCUGGGCCGCACGCGCGCUACACUGACGAUGGCAACGAGUUUUUCCUUCGCCGAAAGGUGUGGGUAAUCUUUUGAAACAUCGUCGUGCUGGGGAUAGAUCAUUGCAAUUUUUGAUCUUGAACGAGGAAUUCCUAGUAGACGCGAGUCAUAAGCUCGCAUCGAUUAAGUCCCUGCCCUUUGUACACACCGCCCGUCGCUACUACCGAUUGAACGUUUUAGUGAGGCAUUUGGACCGACGCAUCUCAGUUUAACCGCUGGUUUGUGUUGGAAAGACUUCCAAACUUGAGCGUUUAGAGGAAGUAAAAGUCGUAACA
rnacentral:rRNA from 1 species